UACGUAGGGGGCUAGCGUUGUCCGGAAUGAUUGGGCGUAAAGCGUCCGCAGGUGGCAGUUCAAGUCUGCUGUCAAAGACCGGGGCUUAACUUCGGAAAGGCAGUGGAAACUGAACAGCUAGAGUAUGGUAGGGGCAGAGGGAAUUCCUGGUGUAGCGGUGAAAUGCGUAGAGAUCAGGAAGAACAUCGGUGGCGAAGGCGCUCUGCUGGACCAUAACUGACACUCAGGGACGAAAGCUAGGGGAGCGAAUGGG
rnacentral:rRNA from 1 species